rnacentral:rRNA from 1 species
GAUGAACGCUGGCGGCGUGCCUAAUACAUGCAAGUCGAGCGAACGGACGAGAAGCUUGCUUCUCUGAUGUUAGCGGCGGACGGGUGAGUAACACGUGGAUAACCUACCUAUAAGACUGGGAUAACUUCGGGAAACCGGAGCUAAUACCGGAUAAUAUUUUGAACUGCAUGGUUCCAAAGUGAAAGACGGUCUUGCUGUCACUUAUAGAUUGAUCCGCGCUGCAUUAGCUAGUUGGUAAGGUAACGGCUUACCAAGGCAACGAUGCAUAGCCGACCUGAGAGGGUGAUCGGCCACACUGUAACUGAGACACGGUCCAGACUCCUACGGGAGGAAGCAGUAGGGAAUCUUCCGCAAUGGGCGAAAGCCUGACGGAGCAACGCCGCGUGAGUGAUGAAGGUCUUCGGAUCGUAAAACUCUGUUAUUAGGGAAGAACAUAUGUGUAAGUAACUGUGCACAUCUUGACGGUACCUAAUCAGAAAGCCACGGCUAACUACGUG